GCUCUGUGUAUUUUGAAAACCUCAUACUGCCACCUGCAAUUUCAUGAUCACCCAGGAAACUUUCAGAUAUCUUCAAAGAUGUUACUUUCCUGUAGGUGUUAUUUCCACUAAUGAGACCAGAGGGCAAGGCGACCUUGUCUUCCUCCUUCUGAAACUUUGUCUUCAUCCUUCACUGUCUGCUAUUUACUGCCACAGGGCUGUCUUUACCUAGUCCCUAUUUCUCUGAAAUUCUUCUUGAAUUUUAAACACUUUAUUUUUACCCUUUUCAGAGAAGCAGCAAUGCCUCUGGCUCAAAGACAAUGCAUUUGGGUACAACUGGCUGCCUGCAGGGUGAACCUCACCCUUCAGGCCUCGUCACAGCAGAGGAGUGGCUCAGGCACCAGGGCCCAGGCGCCGGGCACACCUGCUACAUUCCUCCAACUGGCUUGUUUUCAUUUUCUUUCCAAUUUAAAAGAAUGUAUUCAACAUUCCAUCUUUAGAAAAUGUGAUAACCAUCAAGUCUUUGCAUGAGAAAGGUAAGAGGGAAGUUAAUCUAUAAUGAAGAUCAACUGUGAAGAGGGAUGGGGUCUUCCCUGCCUCCCUUUAGUCAUUUACAACAUUUAAAAAAACAAUGCAGGUAAGGAAGAAGUCUAAUCUAUAAUGAGAGAAACAACAGUUACACCUGCCCAGGUUACAGAUGCCUCUCACAUGACUCAGGCACUAUAGUCAUAUUUCUUUAAAACUCAAAAUAGUUUGGAGUCCCCACAGCCUAGAUUUUAUUUUCACAUCUGCAAGUCAUUGAGAACUACUCCUGUCUCCUUGUCCCUCCCUAUACCAUUUCCUCCCCCUUCUCUGAGUUCUUUUUCCCAGUCUCCUUUGCUGGGCACCUCACAACCCCCACUCAUCCUUACAUGCUGAAGUCAUCCAGGAUUUGCUUCCAGAUUCCUUGCUUCUAUUUCUGAACCCACCUGUUCCUUUUAACCAUUUGCCUGGUUUAAUUCCCAUUGCCUUUCCCCUUGAAUGUAAAAAUUGAAGUAUGACUUACUUGCCUUAAAGUGCACACUUCUUAAAUAUAUAUGUGAUGAAUUUUUACUUAUAUGUACACCUAUGUAGCUGCCAGUUAAACCAAGGUUAGAGAAUUUCCAGCUUCCAGAAAUGCUCCUGCAUGACCAUCUCAGCCAGUACCCCACAACGAAGCCUCGAGUCUGACCUCCACCAUCAUAGGUAGACUUGCUGGCUUGGAAACCUGACAUCUGUGCUUUGAAGUCUAGGAGGAUGAAAAAGUCUUGAAGCCAGGACAAGAUGGCCCGCAAAGGGAUCAGGUUUUAUUCUGACCAAAAUAAAGACUUUUUAAAGACUUUUGAAGCCUUGUUUAUGCUAUCAGGGCUCCAAUUUAAAAGAUGUCACUGUCAGUAGAUGUCUUCUGAUUUUGAGAAGCACAUGUGAUGAGUUCUGGGUCACUCACCUUCCCACGGUGUCCUCGGUGUUCCUAGCCUCAUUGUUGCUCUCAGCCAGCCUCAACCAAAACCACUUCCUCUGGAAGCCUGUCCCUUCCCCCACUCCCAUUUGCGAGUCUUCCCAGAUGCCCUUUUCUAGUGCUUCAACCACGGUCCCCCACCUGCCUCUCCCUCUACCUGCUCCCUUAACAGCUCCACCUUGCCCCUCCUCUUAAGGGUGAGGAGUAGCUACAGGUAGAGAAAUACUUAACGUCAUGCUUUUAUUUUUGGACUCCCC
rnacentral:lncRNA from 10 species